AGGGAGCUGUACUACUGAGUGGCUACUGUGUGCAGAGCACUUUUCUGGGGACCCCCAAGGAGUGAAAAUCAUGAUCCCCAUCCUGGAGGACCUCCCGGGCUACCGCGGGGAAGACGAGGAAAGGACUGAGGGAUGCGUUGCAAGGCAGAGCCCCGCUGCACGGGGCUGAGGAUGUGGCUGGGGAGGGUGGGGGGCGUUUCCGCGGUGGGUGGGAGGGGAGAGGAGCCCAGCUGGGUCCCCUCCCGCUCCUCGCACCCACUGCUCUCAAGAGGUUGCAGGGACCUGGACCACCCCAUCCGCCCCCUCCCUCCCACCACGACCCCCUGCAACUCGCAGCAAUGCCGGUCCCGCUCCACCUGCUCCUCGCCUUGGUCCUUUCGGUCAGCCCAGCCCGGGCCGGCGAGGCGCUGACCCUGGACGGGGGCCAAGGGGACCCGGCCAGCCGAUGCAGAGAGGCCGGGGACCACCUGGGAGAGGGCACCGCCCCCUGCCACCUCGCCCCGGGCCUCCAGAGCAAAGAACCGUUUAUCAAGUGUGUGACCUGCAAGAUGGUGGUGCAGAAGAUAGUGGCCUCCGUCGGAGAAGACCCCACCCCCGUGAGACUCCACCCCAUCCCCCACUGUCACCCCAAGCCCGGGGUGUUCUCCAGCUACCUGGGUCCCCUCAUUUCCCUUCUCCCUCUUCCAGAGUCCUGGCUUCUCCCUGAGGAGCCCUCCCCAAGUCCCCCUCCAUCCCCCCACAACUCCAGACACACAGCAGGCCCUGCGGAGAGGGAGGCCGGGUCCUCACUAACCCUCACCUCCCCGCCCCCCUCCAACACCUCUUCUCCCACCCCAACCACCCGUUGCUGCAGGAGAACAUUAAGGAAGCGGGAAGCAAGGUCUGUACCCGAUUGGGCCGCUUCCUGCGCCGCGUCUGCAAGAAGUUCAUUAAGAAGUUCCUCGACAUGA
rnacentral:lncRNA from 1 species